UUAAUUUAUUUUGUUUGUUAUUCAGAUGACACAUUUAUAAUGGGUUUAAGAAAACUUCUGACGGGCGAGCCCGCCAAAGAAACAGGUAAUUAAGACAAAGGGUUUAAGGUUGAACCCCGAAGGGUUCCCUUUUCAAUAAUGAUCCUUCCGCAGGUUCACCUACGGAAA
rnacentral:misc_RNA from 1 species